GAGCCCUCCUUCACCUCCAGAAAGUGAGGAGAUGGCUGCUCCCUGCCAAGAAAGUGCAGCCAGGUUUCUGGCACACACUGAGCAGGCAAAGGGCUGCUGUCUGAAGUUGGUGAGGGUGAGGCUUCUUCAAGUGCAGCGUGGUGCCUCUAGUCAGUCAUCACUCGAAAAAGUCACAGAAGGGGAGAGGGGGGCAGCAGAUGAAAAGUUUGCAAGGAAAGCAGAAUAAUAUGCAAAAUCAGGAUGAAACAUGUUUCAGGUCUACAUUACAAUUCAAACAGAAAUGUAAGACAGCUGAAGACAUCAGAACAAAAAGCUUUGACAUGUGACACAGUUUAACAAAGAUCUGCUUAGCUAAAAAAAAUCCAAUUAAAACCUGAAUUGUCCUUCGGCUGUGCCUGGCAUGCUGCCAUUUCAGCAGUCCAGCGGGAAUGAAGUGGAAGAAGAGCAAA